rnacentral:rRNA from 1 species
UGGCCAGACUCCUACGGGAGGCAGCAGUGGGGAAUAUUGCACAAUGGGGGAAACCCUGAUGCAGCGACGCCGCGUGAGUGAAGAAGUAUUUCGGUAUGUAAAGCUCUAUCAGCAGGGAAGAAGUUGACGGUACCUGAGUAAGAAGCCCCGGCUAACUACGUGCCAGCAGCCGCGGUAAUACGUAGGGGGCAAGCGUUAUCCGGAUUUACUGGGUGUAAAGGGAGCGUAGACGGCAGUGCAAGUCUGAAGUGAAAGCCCCGGGCUCAACCCCGCGGACUGCUUUUGAAACUGUCAGGCUGGAGUACAGGGGAGGUAAGCGGAAUUCCUAGUGUAGCGGUGAAAUGCGUAGAUAUUAGGAGGAACACCAGUGGCGAAGGCGGCUUACUGGACUGUAACUGACACUGAGGCACGAAAGCGUGGGGAGCAAACAGGAUUAGAUACCCGAGUA